rnacentral:rRNA from 1 species
UGACCUCUGACCUCAAAUCAGUAGAUACCCGGCCU